AGGUAAGUUACAGUUGCAGCUGUAUCGUAGGUACCUUAGCAGUGAGCAGCAGGCUACAGAAGGUGAACACGGCAGGCAUCAUGUAAAGAUAAGUCAGGUGCAGUAAGCUGUAGGUACCUUAGCAGUGAGCAGCAGGCUACAGAAGGUGAACACGGCAGGCAUCUUGAUGAUGGAGACCAGCAGUUUGUAUGUUUCCACGACGCUCUGCGUCUCCUCCCGGACCUUCUUCUUCCCGUGCUGUCCCCUGGCGUUCUCCUUCUUCAUAAUGGCCACCAGCGUGGUCGACACCAGGAACACCACACCCCAGAAAAACAGGAAGUCUGCGC